rnacentral:rRNA from 1 species
CCUACGGGGUGCUGCAGUGAGGAAUAUUGGUCAAUGGGCGAGAGCCUGAACCAGCCAAGUCGCGUGAGGGAGUACUUCCCUAUGGGUUGUAAACCUCUUUUGUCGGGGAGAAAAAGCCGGACGUGUCCGGCUGUGAGAGUACCCGAAGAAAAAGCAUCGGCUAACUCGGUGCAAGCAGCCGCGGUAAUACGGAGGAUGCGAGCGUUAUCCGGAUUUAUUGGGGUUAAAGGGUGCGCAGGCGGAUUUUUAAGUCAGCGGUAAAAUCGUGGGGCUCAACCCCAUCCAGCCGUUGAAACUGGGGAUCUAGAGUGUGCGAGAGGUAUGCGGAAUGCGUGGUGUAGCGGUGAAAUGCGUGGAUAUCACGCAGAACCCCGGUUGCGAAGGCAGCAUACCGGUGCACAACUGACGCUCAGGCACGAAAGCGUGGGUAUCGAACAGGAUUAGAUACCCCAGUAGUC